rnacentral:rRNA from 1 species
AUUGAACGCUGGCGGCAUGCCUUACACAUGCAAGUCGAACGGUAACAGGUUAAGCUGCCGAGUGGCGAACGGGUGAGUCAUGUAUCGGAACGUGCCCAGUCGUGGGGGAUAACUGCUCGAAAGAGCAGCUAAUACCGCAUACGACCUGAGGGUGAAAGCGGGGGAUCGCAAGACCUCGCGCGAUUGGAGCGGCCGAUACCAGAUUAGGUAGUUGGUGAGGUAAAGGCUCACCAAGCCGACGAUCUGUAGCUGGUCUGAGAGGACGACCAGCCACACUGGGACUGAGACACGGCCCAGACUCCUACGGGAGGCAGCAGUGGGGAAUUUUGGACAAUGGGCGCAAGCCUGAUCCAGCCAUGCCGCGUGCGGGAAGAAGGCCUUCGGGUUGUAAACCGCUUUUGUCAGGGAAGAAAAGGUUCUGGCUAAUACCUGGGACUCAUGACGGUACCUGAAGAAUAAGCACCGGCUAACUACGUG